UACGUAGGGUGCAAGCGUUGUCCGGAAUUAUUGGGCGUAAAGAGCUCGUAGGCGGUCUGUCGCGUCUGGAGUGAAAACCAUGGGCUUAACUCAUGGCUUGCUUUCGAUACGGGCAGACUAGAGGUAUGCAGGGGAGAACGGAAUUCCUGGUGUAGCGGUGAAAUGCGCAGAUAUCAGGGGAACACCGGUGGCGAAGGCGGUUCUCUGGACAUGACCUGACGCUGAGGAGCGAAAGUGUGGGGAGCGAACAGG
rnacentral:rRNA from 1 species